AACGAGCGCUGGCGGCAGGCUUAACACAUGCAAGUCGAACGCACCUUUCGGUGUGAGUGGCAGACGGGUGAGUAACGCGUGGGAAUCUACCCUUCUCUACGGGAUAGCUCCGGGAAACUGGAAUUAAUACCGUAUACGUCCUGAGGGAGAAAGAUUUAUCGGGGAAGGAUGAGCCCGCGUUGGAUUAGCUAGUUGGUGGGGUAAAGGCCUACCAAGGCGACGAUCCAUAGCUGGUCUAAGAGGAUGAUCAGCCACAUUGGGACUGAGACACGGCCCAAACUCCUACGGGAGGCAGCAGUGGGGAAUAUUGGACAAUGGGCGCAAGACUGAUCCAGCCAUGCCGCGUGAGUGAUGAAGGCCCUAGGGUUGUAAAGCUCUUUCAGUGGGGACGAUAAUGACGGUACCCACAGAAGAAGCCCCGGCUAACUUCGUG
rnacentral:rRNA from 1 species